AUUGAACGCUGUCGGCAGGCCUAACACAUGCAAGUCGAGCGAGCGGCGGACGGGUGAGUAAUGUAUGGGGCCUGCCCGAUAGAGGGGGAUAACUACUGGAAACGGUGGCUACUACCGCAUACUAUCGGCUAACCCAGUUGGGAUUGGCUAGUAGGUGGGGUAAAGGCUCACCAAGGAGACGACCUCUUAAUGGUCUGAGAGGAUGAUCAGCCAUAAUGGGACUGAGACACGGCCCAGACUCCUACGGAGGCAGCAGUGGGGAAUAUUGCACAAUGGGAGAAAGCCUGAUGAAGCCAUGCCGCGUGUGUGAAGAAGGCCUUAGGGUUGUAAAGUACUUUAAGCGGGGAGGCGUUACCAGAAGAAGAAGCACCGGCUAACUCCGUGCCAGCCGCCGCGGUAAUUC
rnacentral:rRNA from 1 species